rnacentral:rRNA from 1 species
UACGUAGGGUGCGAGCGUUGUCCGGAAUUAUUGGGCGUAAAGGGCUCGUAGGUGGUUUGUCGCGUUGUCCGUGAAAACUCACAACUCAAUUGUGGGCGUGCGGGCGAUACGGGCAGACUGGAGUACUGCAGGGGAGACUGGAAUUCCUGGUGUAGCGGUGGAAUGCGCAGAUAUCAGGAGGAACACCGGUGGCGAAGGCGGGUCUCUGGGCAGUAACUGACGCUGAGGAGCGAAAGCGUGGGGAGCGAACAGG